CUUGCCUCUCCAGUGUUGAAUCCGCUGUACGAUGCAAAGGCCGACGCUCAGAUCGAUGCGUGGUGCGCGGAGUUUCUGAAGUUGCAACCUGGAAGCGAGAAAGCUGUGUUUGUUCAAGAAAGCAGGCUUGGAUUGCUCGCGGCUUAUGUUUACCCCAGCAUUCCAUACGAGAAGAUUGUUCCGGUUGCAAAGUUCUUCGCUUGGUUCUUUCUUGCAGAUGACAUUCUGGAUAGCCCGGAGAUCUCCUCGUCAGACAUGAGAUAUGUGGCAACUGCAUACAAGAUGGUUUUCAAGGGAAGAUUUGACGAGGCCACGCUUCCAGUGAAAAAUCCGGAGCUGCUGAGGCAAAUGAAGAUGUUAGCUGAGGUUUUGGAAGAACUGUCCCUCCAUAUAGUGGAUGAAUCAGGCCGAUUCGUGGAUGCUAUGACCAAGGUGCUCGACAUGUUUGAGAUUGAAUCGAGCUGGCUUCGCAAGCAAAUCCUUCCCAACCUGGAUACGUACCUCUGGCUGAGAGAGAUCACAUCUGGUGUGGCUCCUUGCUUUGCUCUGAUUGAUGGUUUACUGCAACUUAGGCUGGAGGAGCGUGGCGUGCUGGAUCAUCCUCUCAUACGCAAGGUUGAGGAGAUUGGGACGCACCACAUUGCGCUCCACAAUGACUUGAUCUCGUUCAGGAAGGAGUGGGCGAAAGGAAACUAC
rnacentral:lncRNA from 1 species